rnacentral:rRNA from 1 species
UACGGAGGGAGCUAGCGUUGUUCGGAAUUACUGGGCGUAAAGCGCGCGUAGGCGGCAAUGUAAGUUAGAGGUGAAAGCCCGGGGCUCAACCCCGGAACAGCCUUUAAGACUGCAUCGCUAGAAUCCGGGAGAGGUGAGUGGAAUUCCGAGUGUAGAGGUGAAAUUCGUAGAUAUCGUAAGGAAGACCAGUGGCGAAGGCGAGUCUCUGGACAGUUACUGACGCUGAGGCACGAAGGCCAGGGGAGCAAACGGG